UACAGGGGGGGCAAGCGUUGUUCGGAAUUACUGGGCGUAAAGGGCUCGUAGGUGGCCAACUAAGUCAGACGUGAAAUCCCUCAGCUUAACUGGGGAACUGCGUCUGAUACUGGAUGGCUUGAGUUUGGGAGAGGGAUGCGGAAUUCCAGGUGUAGCGGUGAAAUGCGUAGAUAUCUGGAGGAACACCGGUGGCGAAGGCGGCAUCCUGGACCGAUACUGACGCUGAGGAGCGAAAGCCAGGGGAGCAAAGCGGG
rnacentral:rRNA from 1 species